rnacentral:rRNA from 1 species
UAAUACGUAGGGUCCAAGCGUUAAUCGGAAUUACUGGGCGUAAAGCGUGCGCAGGCGGUUGUGCAAGACCGAUGUUAAAUCCCCGGGCUUAACCUGGGAAUUGCAUUGGUGACUGCACGGCUAGAGUGUGUCAGAGGGGGGUAGAAUUCCACGUGUAGCAGUGAAAUGCGUAGAGAUGUGGAGGAAUACCGAUGGCGAAGGCAGCCCCCUGGGAUAACACUGACGCUCAUGCACGAAAGCGUGGGGAGCAAACAGGAUUAGAUACCCUGGUAGUCCACGCCCUAAACGAUGUCAACUAGUUGUUGGGGAUUCAUUUCCUUAGUAACGUAGCUAACGCGUGAAGUUGACCGCCUGGGGAGUACGGUCGCAAGAUUAAA